UGAUAUCUGGGCUUCAUUUGAGAGGUGAGGGUUGAAAUUAAUUUAUUAACCAUGUUUUUACCCUGUGACGUCACUUUUACCAUAUUUGGAAGAGGAAGAAAUUACAUGUUUUUUUCCCAUUAGAUGGCAGUCUAUUGUUCCCUGUUCCCCUCUUCACUCAGGCUCUGAGAGGGUGUUUUUAUGUGUGUGGGGGGGUGAGUUCAUGUGCAUGUGUGUGCAUGUGAAUGUGCGCGUGCGCGCACAUGCGUGGUGUGUACAUUAUAAGACUUUUUGGACUUUUGCACAAAAAGCGCAUGAAGCCUUCAAAGUGCACUGUUGUUCAGUCACUCCAUUUCAUGUGUAGAUUUUUUAUAAAAGAUCCAAAUCCCUCUGCUCUUUUGAG